rnacentral:misc_RNA from 1 species
GAUGAAGAACCUAGCGAAAUGCGAUACUUGGUGUGAAUUGCAGAAUCCCGUGAACCAUCGAGUCUUUGAACGCAAGUUGCGCCCGAAGCCAUUAGGCCGAGGGCACGCCUGCCUGGGCGUCACACGUCGUUGCCCCCCCAUCUACUCCUUCGGGAUUGCGGGGGGCGGAUGAUGGCCUCCCGUGCGCCUUGUCGCGCGGUUGGCAUAAAUGCCAAGUCCUCGGCGACGCACGCCACGACAAUCGGUGGUUGCGAAACCUCGGUUGCCCGUCGUGUGCGGUCGUCGCGCAUCGAGGGCUCGAAAAAAUUGUCGGGCUCCGGCUCGGCUUUCAACGCGACCCCAGGUCAGGCGGGGUUACCCGCUGAAUUUAAGCAUAUCAAUAAGCGGAGGA